CUGCGAACGGCUCAUUACACAAGUUAUCGUUUAUUUGAUAGCACCUCGUUACUUGGGUAACCGUGGUAAUUCUAGAGCUAAUACAUGCUGAAAAUCCCGACUCCGGAAGGGAUGUAUUUAUUAGAUCCAGAACCGAUGCCCCCCGGGCUCACUGGUGAUUCAUGAUAACUGUUCGAAUCGCAUGGCCUCGCGCCGGCGAUGGCUCAUUCAAAUUUCUUCCCUAUCAACUUUCGAUGUUCGGGUAGUGGCCAAACAUGGUUGCAACGGGUAACGGAGGGUUAGGGCUCGACCCCGGAGAAGGAGCCUGAGAAACGGCUACUACAUCCAAGGAAGGCAGCAGGCGCGCAAAUUACCCAAUCCCGACACGGGGAGGUAGUGACAAUAAAUACUGAUACAGGGCUCUUUUGGGUCUUGUAAUUGGAAUGAGUACAAUUUAAAUCCCUUAACGAGGAACAAUUGGAGGGCAAGUCUGGUGCCAGCAGCCGCGGUAAUUCCAGCUCCAAUAGCGUAUAUUAAAGUUGUUGUGGUUAAAAAGCUCGUAGUUGAACCUUGGGCCUGGCUGGCCGGUCCGCCUCACCGCGUGCACUGGCCCGGCCGGGCCUUUCCCUCUGCGGAACCCCAUGCCCUUCGCUGGGCGUGGCGGGGAAACAGGACGUUUACUUUGAAAAAAUUAGAGUGCUCCAGGCAGGCCUAUGCUCGAAUACAUUAGCAUGGAAUAAUGGAAUAGGACGCGCGGUCUUAUUUUGUUGGUUUCUAGGACCGCCGUAAUGAUUAAUAGGGACAGUCGGGGGCAUCAGUAUUCAGUUGUCAGAGGUGAAAUUCUUGGAUCUACUGAAGACUAACUACUGCGAAAGCAUUUGCCAAGGAUGUUUUCAUUAAUCAGGAACGAAAGUUAGGGGAUCGAAGACGAUCAGAUACCGUCGUAGUCUUAACCAUAAACUAUGCCGACUAGGGAUCGGGCGAUGUUAUUUCUUGACUCGCUCGGCACCUUACGAGAAAUCAAAGUGCUUGGGCUCCAGGGGG
rnacentral:rRNA from 1 species